CAGCCGCCGCGGUAACACGUAGGUGGCAAGCGUUGUCCGGAAUUAUUGGGCGUAAAGCGCGCGCAGGCGGUUUCUUAAGUCUGAUGUGAAAGCCCCCGGCUUAACCGGGGAGGGUCAUUGGAAACUGGGAGACUUAGAGUGCAGAAGAGGAGAGUGGAAUUCCAUGUGUAGCGGUGAAAUGCGUAGAUAUAUGGAGGAACACCAGUGGCGAAGGCGACUCUCUGGUCUGUAACUGACGCUGAGGCGCGAAAGCGCGGGGAGCAAACAGGAUUAGAUACCCCGGUAGUCCCUGUCUCUUAUA
rnacentral:rRNA from 1 species